AUGGCCGGAGCAGAGAGCCCCGCUGGGUGCCAGGCAGAACUGGAGCCCGUGGUGUCGCUGGUGGAUGUGCUCGAGGAAGACGAGGAGUUGGAGAAUGAGGCGUGCACCAUUCUAGGCUGCAGCGACUCGGAGAAGUGCUCCUACUCACAGGGCUCAGUGAAGACACCAGCACUGUGUGCCUAUAGCACCUGCACGCCUGAGGGAGAAGAACCGGCAAGAAUUUGUCUAGCUUGCAAUUAUGAAUGUCACGGAAGCCAUAAACUGUUUGAACUAUACACAAAAAGAAAUUUUUGUUGUGAUUGUGGAAACAGCAAGUUUAAAAAUUUGGAAUGCAAAUUAUUUCCUGAUAAAGCAAAGGUAAAUUCUUGCAGUAAGUACAAUGACAACUGUUUUGGAUUAUACUGCAUCUGUAAGAGACCUUAUCCUGAUCCUGAAGAUGAGGUUCCAGAUGGGAUGACACAGUGUGUGGUCUGUGAAGACUGGUUCCACGGCAGGCAUCUUGGUGCCAUUCCCCCUGAGAAUGGGGAUUUCCAGGAGAUGGUGUGCCAGGCUUGUAUGAGGCACUGUUCUUUCUUGUGGGCUUAUGCUGCCCAGUUGGCAGUCACCAGUAUAUCUGCUGAAGAUGAUAGGCUGCUGCCGAAUGCUACUGGGAUGGGAGAUGAAGAUGUUAGCAAGCCUGAAAAUGGAGCUCCCCAAGAUAAUGGCCUGAAAGAGGAUGUUCCGGAGCAUGGCAGGCAUUCUGUCAACGAGGUGAAAGCUGAGCAGAAGAACGAGCACUGCACCAGCUCUAGUUCCGAGUCUGAACUCCAGACAGUGUUUAAGAAAGAAAAUAUCAAAACUGAGCCACAGUCCAGCUGCAGACUUCAGGAACUCCUAGCCAAGCAGUUUGUAAAGAAAGAUGCUGCCACCUAUUGGCCCUUGAACUAGCGCAGCAACUAUUCACCUGUCAAGACUGUAUGAAAAUGUAUGGAGAACUAGAUGUCCUGUUCCUGACAGAUGAAUGUGAUACAGUUAUGGCUUAUGAGAACAAAGGCAAGAGCGACCAGGCAACUGAUAUAAGGGACCCUUUAAUGGACACCCUCAGCAGCAUGAAUAGAGUCCAGCAAGUGGAGCUCAUCUGUGAAUACAAUGACUUGAAGACUGAACUUAAGGAUUACCUGAAGAGAUUUGCUGAUGAAGGCACGGUUGUUAAGAGAGAAGACAUUCAGCAGUUCUUUGAAGAGUUUCGAUCAAAAAAGAGAAGGUGAGUGGACAGGUUACAGUAUUACUGCAGCUAA